AUCUUUUGCUUUUACUGAAGAAUAAACAGGAGGGGAAAAAAGUAAAUUCUACCAGCAUGCUGAAAGAAUAAUUUAAUGUAUUUCAUCAGAAUUAAAGGAAAAUGGAAUUCAAGAAAGAAUUCUGGCAGAAAGUGAUCUCUAAUGAGCAAGAUUACUUACUGUGUGACAGUAUAGUACACUAUUAUUUUAAAAAGUGCUAGUGAUUAGAUUAAUAAGAAAAACUUUAUUAAUAUCUAUGUAAAUUUAUGCAUACACUAAUUGGUAUACUACAGUAAAUUUUAACUUAAUUAAACAAGAGUUUCAAACAAUAUUCCAGUUACUUUGAAUUUUCCAUCUUCCUCCAAAAAAGCCAGUUGUUAUGAGACUAUGCCUAAUGGCUUUAGGAAAACAUUAAAGCCUUUGAAAUAUUUACAAAUAAGUAGUGCAACCAUUUGUGAUUAUUUUUGUUGUAUAUAAAGAACUUGGAUAUAGGAACACCCAGUGAGCGAGUGUCAAAGUUUGUUUUGGGGGAUGACUGCUCAGCCUCCCAUUGACAAUGGCUGAGAUUCCAGUUGUUAAUGAGACAGGAAUGUAAGCAUAAUAGCGUCAGCAGAGCACCUGAAACUGAGGGCAUUCUGCUUGAAUGAAGUUAUUCUGAAUUACGUAGUAUUUACAUAUAAGUACAUUAAUUAGUACUUUUCUGUAUUUCAUUUUAUAUACUUGUAAGAGAAGAAAAAGGAAAUCCUGUUCUUAGGAAAGCCAAAUGAGGAUGCGGAUAUUGUUGAUAUUUUUAUUUACUUCAGUUCUGAUUCUCUGGGACAGGUUAUACUGGUCUCCAGCUGCUAAUAACCAAUAUUAAAUAAAAAUGUCUCAUGAUGAGUCUAGGCUGUCAUCUGGGAUUGGAUGGCUUUGUUUUCCUGCAAUCAUGGCUCUCACCUGAGAACCGUGAUUAUUUUCCCUCAGUUUGACCAUCAGGCCUUUGCUCAGCCAUUCUUGCCUCCUCUGCUUGAUUUCUUAUGCUAGAGGAGGGAGAGCUCUUGUGUUCUCAGAAAAGUAUCCUGACAGAGCUGCCAUCUUCUCUGUUCUAUUCCUUUUCCCCCAAGGACAGUCUGCUAGGGGAUUUCACCCAAUAAUUCCUUGAGCAGUUGAAAUUUCACUCACUUGAACUUCAGUGUCCCAACUCUGUUUUUUUACAGGCCAUAUUCCUCAAAGUCAUGGAACUUGACCAGGUCAUGGUCACUACAGCCCAGACUGCCUCUAAUCUUUACCCCUCUGAUGAUAUCUUCUGCAUUGAUGAUCCAGUAAUGCUUCAGUUCUUUUUGCUCUGUCCAAUACAUGAACCAGGAAUUUAUCUUCAGUGGACUCUAGGAAUUUCUUGGAUAGUUUGUAGCUUGCUGUGGUGUUUUUGUUUGUUUGUUUGUUUGUUUGUUUGUUUUUGUUUUGUUUUGUUUUCUUCCCCAGAGAUAUCUGGGUGGUUGAAAUCAGGAUGAAAGCCUGCAAGAGCGAUCCCUCUUUGUUGCUGAAGAAGAAGGCUUUUUCCACAGACUCCCCUGCUCCGCCUGAUGAAGUAGCCUGUAGAAGACCCCAACCAGUGGACAUAAUUUGUUGAAGCAAGCAGGGAGAAGGAGAGUGGGAGACAUGGUGAGAAAGCAAAAGAUGAGUAAAGCUUCCCCCUUUACCAGCUAUAAUUCAUUGGAAGAGCUUGACUGUCCGACUGUGUUAUCCUGUAACUCACAUACUAUGGCACUUGCAAGAACCUUCUUGGUGUUCAUUCAGCUGUGAAACAAAACAGUUCAAGGAGCAGAGCUGCAUGAUAUCUAUCUGGGAGCAACAUAGAGGAUAAUUUCAGGAGAACUGAGUUAGACUGACUUGAUGUGCCCUGGCUAAUUUUAAUCUACUCUUGGAUCAUCUACUAGUAAGUUAUCAUAUUUUACAUGUUCAGAUAUGACAAGGAAUGGCUAAAAUUAUCUAUAUACAUCUUCACAAUUGUCAUUUGUAAGCAAGAAAUUCACAAGUUUGUUCUGUGGUCCUAUGACAAGUGCCAGCUGGAGGGAGAUUUUUAUCUUAAACAAACUGAAAAAUAACUACCAUAAAUAGCCAUUUCACAUCUUUCAUUUAAAAAUGAAAUGAAAUGAAAUGAAAUGAAAUAAAAUAAAAUAAAAUAAA